ACAGGAAAAGCGUUGUGUUGUGUCAGGAAAUAGAUGGGCUUAAAUAAGUCACACUUAUGUUGUGGCACACGUGUAUAGUUGCUCAUAUCAGAACAAUAGAAAGCGAUGUGAUUUAGUCGUCGUAAUUUGUUCCGGUAGAGCAAAAAGCCACACGUCAUAUGUAAUUUUGCGAAGAUCAUGAAAUAUCACAACAGAAGUGAAGCCACUGCAUGAAGGGAGACAGCGCCACCAUGACCCAAAUAUCCUUGUGUUUCAGCAGCAGCAGAGACAGGACUGGGAACAUGUGCGGCUUUCCAAGGGUCAGUGCUUGAGUUGGCACAUGGAGGCCAGGGAUUAGAAGCGCUGGAAGAAGAUGGCGGGGCCGACCAGGGAUUACCAACCACAGGAGGGCUGGCCUGAACCGCUGCAAGCACAGAUGAGGUUUGAUUUUCAGUCAACUGACAAGAUUGUCGGGUGCAGAUCGAUGUCUCGCCCACCUGCCGGCUCCCAGGGGCUCGAGGGAGCAUCAGAAGACACAGCAGCAGAGAUCCAGGGGUCAGUUCGAGCAGGUUGAGCUUUCGAGGAUGCACCAAAAAUAUCUACCAGAUCCAGCAUGGCGGACUAGAAAGGAGCGGAGAAUAGUUUUUUUUAGUGUGAGGUCAACAUCAUCCAAGGACUGGUUACUACAGGCGAACUAGCCGUGAGACGAGACAGUGAGUCUGACAAACGUGUGAGUCAAAGAGCUGCUAUUGAUGCAGGUAGCUUUCAGGGAAAUGCCACGCUGAGCUCAGACCCUGAUAAGACAAAGCCAUUACGAUUCAGUGGGCAUCUCUUCUUUCUCAGACCUCAUUAUGCUGAUCAGCUUUUUCUCCCCUCCCCGCCCGACUCAUUUUCCCACAGAUCACACAGCCAACUCCUCUGGCUGUAAGCCUGCCAAAAAAACCUCCCACAAAAUGAUGCACUCGCCAACCUUUCCAUGCAGAUACACGGCCGUCACGAACACGCCCACACGCACAUUUGUAACUCACCUCUCCUGUCCCCGACUGGCUCUCUCUCCUGCUCUCAUCCAGUGCUUUCUGUAGUAGGGACUCGUCUCCUUGGCGACAGUUUUUGUCCUGCAGGGGCGGCAUCAUCAACGUCAUCUCCACCACAAUUUAUACACUCACACACACACAAGUUGGUCCACUAUUGAUUUCUGUUACAAGAAAUGAAACAUUAAACCAGACUAGAAAAGAUCAGAAGACAGAGAGGAGAAACUUUUAUGCAGCUACAGCCAAUAAUAAGGUGCAGCUAACAGCACACUUUUUUUUGAGAGAAAUCAUCAAUACUUAUGUUUCUGUUUCACAGAGAUGCACAAGCAUUUCAAGGAAUAAAAAUAGGUUCAUUGUGGAAACUCAGAAGACAACAACAGUUCUUAAAACAGUACUUCAAACCUUUCUGACUAUGGCCUAUACAAUAUACAGCGCACGUCGGUCAUGGACCGAGGACACAGCAUGAGGUCAUCCAACUAUCCCUACCAUACCACAAACAGAAGCACGAAGACACCAGUUAUAGCCACUGACUACAGCACCAGCACACUGGUUGGCUCCUUAGUGAUAACUUAGGUGCCAUUAUAAUACAGAGAAAAAGCCUGUUGAGGAGUGAUUCAUGCUGUCGGGGUAAGUGAAGAUAUCAUUUCCAAAUCUCCAGCACACUGGGGAUUUGAAAUGUCAAAUUCAGCCUCUUGUUUUGAUUUUUUUUUUUUUCAAAUUGGAAUACACAAGUCAUAAAAUCAUUCAAGUAUAUUAAACAAACACGGGUGAAAAUGAAUCUUGGCGCUCGUGAAACUGGUGACUCUGAACAGGGGUUGACUUAACAUUUUAAAACAGAAAAUGACAACGAAAAAUGGCAUCUAAAAAAAACAAUGAGCAACAUUAGUGCAGAAUAUUAGAAAAAUAUCUCUAUCUGAUAGAAAAGUUCUAGCACAUAAUUAAAUUUAUAAAAAGGAAGAUUCAAAUGCUUUAUUAUAUAUUUUCAUAGAAAUGUGGAAAAUGCCAUUGAAUAAUAAUCGUAUGAAUAUGAAUGAAACACAAUAUUACAAAUAUUUUCAUUUCAGUCUAUACAUACAAUGCUUUGAAAAAUGAAUUUGGGCACAACAAUGGCAGGUGGAGAUCUUGAACGUGGGUAAACGUGGACACAAUGUUGGGGAGCCCAGAUGGUGU